GACGAACGCUGGCGGCGUGCCUAAUACAUGCAAGUCGAGCGAAUCAAUGGGAGCUUGCUCCCUGAGAUUAGCGGCGGACGGGUGAGUAACACGUGGGUAACCUGCCUGUAAGACUGGGAUAACUUCGGGAAACCGGAGCUAAUACCGGAUACGUUCUUUUCUCGCAUGAGAAGAGAUGGAAAGAUGGUUUCGGCUAUCACUUACAGAUGGACCCGCGGCGCAUUAGCUAGUUGGUGAGGUAACGGCUCACCAAGGCGACGAUGCGUAGCCGACCUGAGAGGGUGAUCGGCCACACUGGGACUGAGACACGGCCCAGACUCCUACGGGAGGCAGCAGUAGGGAAUCUUCCGCAAUGGACGAAAGUCUGACGGAGCAACGCCGCGUGAGUGAUGAAGGUUUUCGGAUCGUAAAACUCUGUUGUUAGGGAAGAACAAGUAUGAGAGUAACUGCUCGUACCUUGACGGUACCUAACCAGAAAGCCACGGCUAACUACGUGCCAGCAGCCGCCGUAAGAC
rnacentral:rRNA from 1 species